GACGAACGCUGGCGGCGUGCUUAACACAUGCAAGUCGAACGAUGAAGCCGGAGCUUGCUCUGGUGAAUUAGUGGCGAACGGGUGAGUAACACGUGAGUAACCUGCCCUUGACUCUGGGAUAACUGCGGGAAACUGUAGCUAAUACCGGAUACGACCCUCGGAGGCAUCUCCUGGGGGUGGAAAGAAUUUCGGUCAAGGAUGGACUCGCGGCCUAUCAGCUAGUUGGUGAGGUAAAGGCUCACCAAGGCGACGACGGGUAGCCGGCCUGAGAGGGUGACCGGCAACACUGGGACUGAGACACGGCCCAGACUCCUACGGGAGGCAGCAGUGGCGAAUAUUGCACAAUGGGCGAAAGCCUGAUGCAGCAGCGCCGCGUGAGGGAUGACGGCCUUCGGGUUGUAAACCUCUUUUAGCAGGGAAGAAGCGAAAGUGACGGUACCUGCAGAAAAAGCACCGGCUAACUACGUGCCAGCAGCCGCCGUAA
rnacentral:rRNA from 1 species